GAAAGUAAGAAAGGGCGUAUGGCGGAUGCCUAGGCUCACGGAGGCGAUGAAGGACGUGAUAAGCUGCGAUAAGCUUCGGGUAGGUGCAAAUAACCCUUGAUCCGGAGAUUUCCGAAUGGGACAACCUAGCCGUCUGAAGGACGGUUACUCUUACCAGUGUAAGAGAGCUAACGCAGGGAACUGAAACAUCUUAGUACCUGCAGGAAGAGAAAAUAAAUGAAUGAUUCCCCCAGUAGUGGCGAGCGAACGGGGAACAGCCCAAACCGUUGACGUCGCAAGGCGCCAGCGGGGUUGUAGGACCGCGACAUUGUAUGCAAAUCGUGAACAGAACACUUUGGAAAAUGUGACCAUAGACGGUGAUAGUCCAGUAUGUGAAGCGAAAUGCAGCAUAGCGGUAUCCUGAGUAACGCGGGACACGAGGAAUCCUGCGCGAAUCUGCCGGGACCAUCCGGUAAGGCUAAAUACUCCCGUGAGACCGAUAGCGAACGAGUACUGUGAAGGAAAGGUGAAAAGAACCCCGAGCAGGGGAGUGAAAUAGUUCCUGAAACCAUACGCCUACAAGCGGUCGGAGCAUCUUACGAUGUGACGGCGUGCCUUUUGCAUAAUGAUCCUACGAGUUACCGUCACUGGCGAGGUUGAGUGUCACGAGACACGUAGCCGCAGUGAAAGCGAGCCUGAAGAGGGCGCACAGUCAGUGGGGGUAGACGCGAAACCAAGUGAUCUACACUUGGCCAGGAUGAAGUCCCGGUAACACGGGAUGGAGGUCCGCACCAAUAAGCGUUGAAAAGCUUCUGGAUGAGCCGAGUGUAGGAGUGAAAGGCCAAUCAAACUUGGAGAUAGCUCGUACUCCCCGAAAGGCAUUUAGGUGCCGCGUCGGAUGGUCACCGUGAGAGGUAGAGCGACCGAUAGGACAAGAGGGCUUCACCGCCUAUCGAGUCCUGACGAACUCCGAAUGCUCACGGUCUGCAGUCCGGCAGUAAGGGGGCGGGUGCUAAGGUCCGUCCCCGAGAGGAGAAGAAUCCAGACCGCCGUCUAAGGUCCCGGAGUUCUGCCUGAGUUAGUCUAACGAAGUCUGGUCCCUAUGACAGCUAGGAUGUUGGCUUGGAAGCAGCCAUUCAUUCAAAGAGUGCGUAACAGCUCACUAGUCGAGGGUCCGGGCAUGGAUAAUAAUCGGGUAUAAGGCAGACACCGAAGGCGCGGGAUAGCAUUUAAUAAAGUAUCGGUAGGGGAGCAUACUCACAGCGUCGAAUGGUGUACGUAAGUUAUCCUGGAGCGGUGAGUAAAGCAAAUGUAGGAAUAAGUAACGAUAAGGAGGGUUAGAUUCCCUCCCGCUGUAAGACCAAGGUUUCCCGGGCAAUGCCAAUCAGCCCGGGGUCAGUCGGGUCCUAAGUCUAAGCCGAACGGCGAUGGCGAUGGCAGAGACGGUUAAUAUUCCGUCACUGCCGCAUGGGGCGACGUGGAGACGGAGCAGUGAAACCACCGCGGGGCGACGGAAGUCCCCGUUGAAGAGUGUAGGUGUUGAGGAUGGCAGGCAAAUCCACCGUCCGAGCUGAACUUGAUAGUAUGGAGUCUUCUUCGGAAGAAUCCAAUAGUGUGGGUAAUCAUACUCCCGAGAAAAUCCGCUAAGCUUAACCCAUGCGGCACCCGUACCGCAAACGGACACACGUGGUCGGGUAGAACAUACUAAGGCGUUGAGAGAUUCAUGGUUAAGGAACUAGGCAAAUUGACCCUGUAACUUCGGGAUAAAGGGUCCUCGUGAUGAGCGAGGCGCAGAGAAUAGGUCCAGGCAACUGUUUAACAAAAACACAGGGCUGUGCAAACUCGAAAGAUGACGUAUACAGCCUGACACCUGCCCGGUGCCGGAAGGUUAAGAGGAGAUGUCACUAGCAAUAGGAAGCAUUGAAUUGAAGCCCCGGUAAACGGCGGCCGUAACUAUAACGGUCCUAAGGUAGCGAAAUUCCUUGUCGGGU
rnacentral:rRNA from 1 species